GCGUGAAACCGUUUGGAGGUAAACGGGUGGGAGCGCGAAGGUCGAACGGAUGGGAAGGGAUUCAACUUGGCGUGGUAGCAGCCAUUGCUUGGUGUGUGUCUGGGCUUCUUUUUCCUCCUUCACGGGAGGUUUAUUGUUGCUCCGCAUGCUGCUUUGGUGUUGUCUGCUGUGCCUUGUGCAUUUCCCUAAUUCCCCUCUCCUAGUAGGACGCCGCGACCGGCUGUCGAGGGGAGCCCAGGAGCUGAUUGGAGCAGCUGCGCGGACGAGUAAGGGACUUGCUCUCUGCGUCUGGUCUGUCUGUCUCCUUUCAAUUGGUGGGUUGCUUCCUCCGGCCGAGGAUACGUGCGAGUUGAACCUCUCGGGGUUCCUCGUCCAUGUACGUGCCUACGACUGUUAACGUUGCGGGUCGACAAAACCCCACGGGUGGCAGCGGGAUUCUGCGCGCCAGUCCUAGUGAUUGCGCGUGUCGGUUUCCUUUAGUCAGCCACCGUCGGUCAAGGUAUUGACUCCCGCUUUAUGGGCGCUAGGGGUCGGCGGCGAGUAGGUCGGUUUCCCACCCGACCCGUCUUGAAACACGGACCAAGAAGUCUAAUGUGCGGGCGAGUCUUCGGGGUAAUGAUAACCCUUGGAAGGCGAAAUGAAAGUGAAGGUUUGGUCGAUCACGUUUCGGCGUGGUCACCAGCCUGGGUGGGAUCCAUCGUCUAAUGGCGAAGGCGCACCACCGGCCCGUCCAACGGCCGCUUUGUCGGUCGGGCGGAGCAAGAGCCCACACGUUGGGACCCGAAAGAUGGUGAACUAUGCCUGGGCAGGACGAGGCCAGAGGAAACUCUUGGUGGAAGUCCGCAGCGGUUCUGACGUGCAAAUCGAUCGUCGGACCUGGGUAUAGGGGGCGAAAGACUAAUCGAACCAUC
rnacentral:rRNA from 1 species